GUAAAUUUAUCGUUUAGCUGAUGCUAUUUAUCUUUCCCGAUCCAACUUUUAUGCAGAGAUGCAAACCGGGGAAGCAAAACCUUGCACAAAACUUAGCAAAGGAUGGCAUGGGUUGUGUGCUCCUCAUAAAUGCAGCAAUUAUUGUAUUCACCACGAGGGAGCUUACCAUGGCGCUUGUUUAAAAAAUCACCAUAACAAGCAUUAUGGUUGCUACUGCUACUACCGUCAUUGCUAAUCAAUGAACCUUAUAUAAUACGUCGUCCGUUACUACAUAGUUCUAUGUACUUGUUGGAGGUCAAGCCUUGUGCCUGUAUGCAAGUUUGUAGUGUGUUUAUGUUUCCAAUUAUGUUGCAAUCCUCGAUUGCUUUCGUUUAAAUAAAAGCUGCCUGUGUAAGCUCUUGCAGCAAGUGGUGUCAGUUGUGUCCAUCAGUUCGUGUUACUUUGUUGUAUUUGUAUUGCCUAAAUAAUGAAGAUUUUUAAGUUUCUUGUAAUCUGUUUCUUGUUCAAAAUAUAAAGUGGUCGGAUGUGUUAAAG
rnacentral:lncRNA from 1 species